UGGGGAAUCUUGCGCAAUGCGCGAAAGCGUGACGCAGCAACGCCGCGUGAGGGAAGACGGCCUUCGGGUUGUAAACCUCUUUCAGGAGGGACGAAGGUGCAGGCGCGAAUAGCGUCCUGUACUGACGGUACCUCCAGAAGAAGCUCCGGCUAACUACGUGCCAGCAGCCGCGGUAAUACGUAGGGAGCAAGCGUUGUCCGGAAUCAUUGGGCGUAAAGCGCGCGUAGGCGGCCCGGUAAGUCCGCUGUGAAAGUCAAAGGCUCAACCUUUGAAUGUCAGCGGAUACUGCCGGGCUAGAGUCCGGAAGAGGCGAGUGGAACUCCUGGUGUAGCGGUGGAAUGCGCAGAUAUCAGGAAGAACACCAACGGCGAAGGCAGCUCGCUGGGACGGAACUGACGCUAAGGCGCGAAAGCGUGGGGAGCGAACAG
rnacentral:rRNA from 1 species